rnacentral:ncRNA from 1 species
ACGUCCUGCUCGUGAUCGUCUUCUCACCCUUCACCGGCAGGCGGCACAAGGAAGGGCCUCCGGCCGGGGCGACCCGGCCGGAGGCCCUUC